rnacentral:pre_miRNA from 1 species
UCUUACAUAUGAGCAAAGAAAAUGGUUUCUUGAGAUGGGAUCUACUCCUGGUGAAGAUGCUGUGAA